rnacentral:rRNA from 1 species
AGUGAACGCUGGCGGUAGGCCUAACACAUGCAAGUCGAACGGCAGCACAGUAAGAGCUUGCUCUUACGGGUGGCGAGUGGCGGACGGGUGAGGAAUACAUCGGAAUCUACUUUUUCGUGGGGGAUAACGUAGGGAAACUUACGCUAAUACCGCAUACGACCUACGGGUGAAAGCAGGGGAUCUUCGGACCUUGCGCGAUUGAAUGAGCCGAUGUCGGAUUAGCUAGUUGGCGGGGUAAAGGCCCACCAAGGCGACGAUCCGUAGCUGGUCUGAGAGGAUGGUAAGCCACACUAGAGCUGGGACACGCUCCAGACUCCUACGGGAGGCAGCAGUGGGGAAUAUUGGACAAUGGGCGCAAGCCUGAUCCAGCCAUACCGCGUGGGUGAAGGCGGCCUUCGGGUUGUAAAGCCCUUUUGUUGGGAAAGAAAAGCAGCAGGUUAAUACCCCGCUGUUCUGACGGUACCCAAAGAAUAAGCACCGGCUAACUUCGUG